UACGUAGGGUCCAAGCGUUGUCCGGAUUUAUUGGGCGUAAAGAGCUCGUAGGCGGUUCCGUAAGUCGGAUGUGAAAACUCGGGGCUCAACCCCGAGACGCCAUCCGAUACUGCGGUGACUUGAGUCUGGUAGGGGAACACGGAAUUCCUGGUGUAGCGGUAGAAAUGCGCAGAUAUCAGGAGGAACACCGAUGGCGAAGGCAGGUCUCUGGGCAUUAACUGACGCUGAGGAGCGAAAGCAUGGGGAGCGAACAGG
rnacentral:rRNA from 1 species